GUGAGGAAUAUUGCGCAAUGGGCGAAAGCCUGACGCAGCGACGCCGCGUGGGGGAUGAAGGUUUUCGGAUUGUAAACCCCUUUCGGGAGGGAAGAUGGAACGGGUAACCGUUCGGACGGUACCUCCAGAAGCAGCCACGGCUAACUUCGUGCCAGCAGCCGCGGUAAUACGAAGGUGGCAAGCGUUGUUCGGAUUUACUGGGCGUACAGGGUGCGUAGGCGGUCUGGUAAGCCCUUCGGGAAAGCCCUCGGCUCAACCGGGGAAGUUCGGAGGGUACUGCCGGGCUAGAGGACGGGAGAGGAGCGCGGAAUUCCCGGUGUAGCGGUGAAAUGCGUAGAGAUCGGGAGGAAGGCCGGUGGCGAAGGCGGCGCUCUGGAACGUUCCUGACGCUGAGGCACGAAAGCGUGGGGAGCAAACAGGAUUAGAAACCCCGGUAGUCC
rnacentral:rRNA from 1 species